AUUGAACGCUGGCGGCAUGCCUUACACAUGCAAGUCGAACGGUAACGCGGGGGCAACCCUGGCGACGAGUGGCGAACGGGUGAGUAAUACAUCGGAACAUAUCCAGUAGCGGGGGAUAACCUAUCGAAAGAUUGGCUAAUACCGCAUACGAUCUACGGAUGAAAGCGGGGGACCGCAAGGCCUCGCACUAUUGGAGUGGCCGAUGUCAGAUUAGCUAGUUGGUGGGGUAAAAGCCUACCAAGGCGACGAUCUGUAGCUGGUCUGAGAGGACGAUCAGCCACCCUGGAACUGAGACACGGUCCAGACUCCUACGGGAGGCAGCAGUGGGGAAUUUUGGACAAUGGGCGCAAGCCUGAUCCAGCCAUGCCGCGUGAGUGAAGAAGGCCUUCGGGUUGUAAAGCUCUUUCGGUGAAGACGAAACGGUUAGUGUUAAUAACACUGACUAAUGACGGUACUCACAGAAGAAGCACCGGCUAACUACGUGCCAGCAGCCGCGGUAA
rnacentral:rRNA from 1 species